rnacentral:tRNA from 1 species
GCGUCUGUAGCUCAGCUGGAUAGAGCAUCUGCCUUCUAAGCAGAGGGUCGAGCGUUCGAAUCGCUCCAGGCGUA